rnacentral:rRNA from 1 species
GCUUAGCCCUAAACCUAGAUAGUUAACUAAACAAAACUAUCCGCCAGAGAACUACUAGCAACAGCUUAAAACUCAAAGGACUUGGCGGUGCUUUACAUCCCUCUAGAGGAGCCUGUUCUAUAAUCGAUAAACCCCGAUAUACCUCACCAUCUCUUGCUAAUUCAGCCUAUAUACCGCCAUCUUCAGCAAACCCUAAAAAGGAAUAAAAGUAAGCACAAGUAUCUUAACACAAAAAAGUAGGUCAAGGUGUAGCCCAUGAGAUGGGAAGUAAUGGGCUACAUUUUCUAAAACUAGAACACCCACGAAAAUCCUUAUGAAACUAAGUAUUAAAGGAGGAUUUAGUAGUAAAUUUGAGAAUAGAGAGCUCAAUUGAAUCGGGCCA